AUUCAUAUAAUAUAAAAAUUAUAUUUAACUUCCAAUUAAAAAAUCUAGAAUUCUAGUAUGAAUA
rnacentral:tRNA from 1 species